rnacentral:rRNA from 1 species
AAUGAACGUUGGCGGCGUGGAUUAGGCAUGCAAGUCGAGCGUGAUAGGUUUGGUGCUUGCAUUAAACCUUGGAAGCGGCGAAAGGGACAGUAACGCGUAGAUACCUACCUCCAGGUCCGGGAUAGCGGCGGGAAACUGCCGGUAAUACCGGAUAAUGUCUUCGGACCAAAGGUGUGAUUCCGCUUGGAGACGGAUCUGCGUGCCUAUUAGCUAGUUGGUGGGGUAAUGGCCCACCAAGGCGAUGAUGGGUAGCGGGCGUGAGAGCGUGGCCCGCGUCACUGGGGCUGAGACACUGCCCAGACACCUACGGGUGGCUGCAGGCGAGAAUCUUCGGCAAUGGGCGCAAGCCUGACCGAGCGACGCCGCGUGCGGGAUGAAGGCCUUCGGGUUGUAAACCGCUGUCGGAGAGGCGGAAAUCUCUAGGGGUUCUCCCCUGGAGUUGACCUAAUCUCGGAGGAAGUCCGGGCUAAGUUCGUGCCAGCCGCCGCCGUAACAC